rnacentral:rRNA from 1 species
UGGGGAAUAUUGGACAAUGGGCGCAAGCCUGAUCCAGCCAUACCGCGUGGGUGAAGAAGGCCUUCGGGUUGUAAAGCCCUUUUGUUGGGAAAGAAAAGCAUUCGGUUAAUACCCGAUUGUUCUGACGGUACCCAAAGAAUAAGCACCGGCUAACUUCGUGCCAGCAGCCGCGGUAAUACGAAGGGUGCAAGCGUUACUCGGAAUUACUGGGCGUAAAGCGUGCGUAGGUGGUUGUUUAAGUCUGUCGUGAAAGCCCUGGGCUCAACCUGGGAAUUGCGAUGGAAACUGGGCGACUAGAGUGUGGCAGAGGGUAGUGGAAUUCCUGGUGUAGCAGUGAAAUGCGUAGAGAUCAGGAGGAACAUCCGUGGCGAAGGCGACUGCCUGGGCCAACACUGACACUGAGGCACGAAAGCGUGGGGAGCAAACAGGAUUAGAUACCCUGGUAGUCCACGCCCUAAACGAUGCGAACUGGAUGUUGGGUGCAAUUUGGCACGCAGUAUCGAAGCUAACGCGUUAAGUUCGCCGCCUGGGGAGUACGGUCGCAAGACUGAAACUCAAAGGAAUUGACGGGGUCAUAGCUGUUUCC